GGACGAACGCUGGCGGCGUGCGUAAUACAUGCAAGUCGAACGCUUCUUUUUCCACCGGAGCUUGCUCCACCGGAAAAAGAGGAGUGGCGAACGGGUGAGUAACACGUGGGUAACCUGCCCAUCAGAAGGGGAUAACACUUGGAAACAGGUGCUAAUACCGUAUAACAAUCAAAACCGCAUGGUUUUGAUUUGAAAGGCGCUUUCGGGUGUCGCUGAUGGAUGGACCCGCGGUGCAUUAGCUAGUUGGUGAGGUAACGGCUCACCAAGGCCACGAUGCAUAGCCGACCUGAGAGGGUGAUCGGCCACAUUGGGACUGAGACACGGCCCAAACUCCUACGGGAGGCAGCAGUAGGGAAUCUUCGGCAAUGGACGAAAGUCUGACCGAGCAACGCCGCGUGAGUGAAGAAGGUUUUCGGAUCGUAAAACUCUGUUGUUAGAGAAGAACAAGGAUGAGAGUAACUGUUCAUCCCUUGACGGUAUCUAACCAGAAAGCCACGGCUAACUACGUGCCAGCAGCCGCGGUAAUACGUAGGUGGCAAGCGUUGUCCGGAUUUAUUGGGCGUAAAGCGAGCGCAGGCGGUUUCUUAAGUCUGAUGUGAAAGCCCCCGGCUCAACCGGGGAGGGUCAUUGGAAACUGGGAGACUUGAGUGCAGAAGAGGAGAGUGGAAUUCCAUGUGUAGCGGUGAAAUGCGUAGAUAUAUGGAGGAACACCAGUGGCGAAGGCGGCUCUCUGGUCUGUAACUGACGCUGAGGCUCGAAAGCGUGGGGAGCAAACA
rnacentral:rRNA from 1 species